CAAGAGUACAAUAUUAAAGUCAAUUCAAACCAUGCCUUUGAGAAUAUUACUAGUAACACUAAUAGAAAUUAUUUUUCAAACUUGUAAUAACUUCUUGUACUUGAUAGAAUUCGAUGUGUCAUUUUGAGUUAAUGAAAAUGCUAAAAAUGCAAUAAAAGCAGAGUCUCAUCCCGUGUAAUUAUCCAACCUUUUUUUUCAUCCAAUUCAAAUGCUAUGCAAUUGAAUACCAUACUUCAAAACAAAAUUCAAUAAAAGUAAGUUAUACAAAAAAUAAUAAAGAAGAAGAAGAAGAUUAAUUAUGAAGUAUGUGAAGAAAGAGUGAAAACCCACAUGAUUUCUUCAAAGUCUGUCUUAUAAAAACACAAAAUGGCAACCAAAUGCAAAACCUUACCACCACAUGCACAUUAAUAUUAUAUUGGAAUGAAAGCAAAGAACAGAACGACAGGAAAAGCAACGAGAAACGAAAAAGUAAUCGAGACAAAGCAACGAGAAACGCAAAAGUGAGCUGGAGAAAAAGGAAAGUAACGAGAAAUGCAAAAGGAAGCGAAAGAAAGUUAAAGUAACGAGAAACGCAAUCGGUGGGGGGCAGUGGACUGGCGAUGGGAUUCCUCAGUGUCGCAGGCGAGCAGGCAAACUCGACGCGCACAAUUGUAACGGAACACUGGAGGAGCAUUGAAAGUGGCGAUGCAGACCAAGACGAAGACGAAGACAACGACCAUGUGAGAAAGAGCAAGAGGGAGGAGAAUCGGGUCUUGUCAGGCCCUCCUCGAAUUCGAUCUCGCCGUCUGAUGCUUGCUCUCUCUCUGUUCAAUCGCAUUGUCGUCUGCAAUCACUGCAUUUGGGCCUUUAUCUGUACAUGUCAGAGAGAAAGCGAGAGAGAGCGAGAGAGGGAGAGCACCCUUUCUUCUCCUUUCCCCUCCCCUUCCCCCACUGCUUCCCUCACCGCCGCCUGCCCCUGCCCUGUAUUUCAACGCUAAUGAGCGUCACAAGAAGCUUCUGCUGCUCCUGCUGCUUCGUGGUCGUCUUUUUCCUCCUGUUUUUUUUUCUUCCGCUUCAGAGCGGUCAUUUAUGGCUCAAGCUCUUGUACCGUGUUCAGUACAGUUAUCAAGUCAAUGGAUGUUGCCACAUUCUGGAGCCGGUCAGUUAGGGCUCACUUCCCAAGGUAGUGUCUGGAUGUUGAUGGAGCAAUUCCUGACAAAAGCUGACUGUGUUUGACAACUUGGAAGAAGAUGCUUCAGAAUCCAGAAGGGAGAUGGCUGCUCUACCAACAAGCACAGGAGCUGAUUCUCUUGUUACAACUUUCUUACUCUGCAUCUCAAAGGGUAAUCACCACAUUAAAAACUUAAGCAGUGUGGAGAUACUUUCACCAACAGCUCCAGAAUGUAUUGGACUUAGUCAUAGGCAUAAAGCUCAUUAGAGAAAUGGUGCUUGAGCUUAAAGCUUCUGGGGACAAAACUUCACCUACUCUGCUGCAAGGGGACAAAAAACCUCAGAUUCAAUUUGGUUGGGGGGAGUACACAUUCUUGAUCAACAAACUACUGUCUGGGGUACAAUUUUACAUGGCAUCACGCAAUCUUUUUAAUGAAUAGUUUGUCACCUUGUGUUUUGUGUAAUGCGCACCAUUGACUUGCUGCAAGGUGUACAUUGAUAAGAAGAACAAGUAACAUAAAUGCUGAUCUGGCAAGGACGAGUAUAGUUCAACUGA